GGGGGAUUAGCUCAGCUGGCUAGAGCGCUUCCAUGGCAUGGAAGAGGUCAUCGGUUCGAAUCCGAUAUUCUCCACCA
rnacentral:tRNA from 2 species